CGGCAAGUAACUUAAUUGGAAAAAGUUUACAGGUAACCAAACAACUAAUCCUGUUGAAGAUGUGUGUUAAUGUAGGUUCGAGUCCUACCUUGCCGG
rnacentral:tRNA from 1 species